rnacentral:rRNA from 1 species
UACGUAGGGUGCAAGCGUUGUCCGGAAUUAUUGGGCGUAAAGAGCUCGUAGGCGGCCUGUUGCGUCGGCUGUGAAAACCCGGGGCUCAACCCCGGGCCUGCAUUCGAUACGGGCAGACUAGAGUUCGGUAGGGGAGUCUGGAAUUCCUGGUGUAGCGGUGAAAUGCGCAGAUAUCAGGAGGAACACCGGUGGCGAAGGCGGGACUCUGGGCCGAUACUGACGCUGAGGAGCGAAAGCGUGGGGAGCGAACAGG